CCGAACCGACUGAUGUUGAAAAAUCAGCGGAUGAGUUGUGGUUAGGGGUGAAAUACCAAUCGAAUUCGGAGCUAGCUGGUUCUCCCCGAAAUGUGUUUAGGCGCAGCGGUUAAUAUUAUAGCUUAGAGGUAAAGCACUGUUUCGGUGCGGGCUGGUAAUUCGGUACCAAAUCGAGGCAAACUCUGAAUACUAAGUGAACAGUUAACCAGUAAGACUGUGGGGGAUAAGCUUCAUAGUCAAGAGGGAAACAGCCCAGAUCACCAGUUAAGGCCCCUAAAUAAUUAUUAAGUGGUAAAGGAGGUGGGAAGACUCAGACAGCCAGGAGGUUUGCUU
rnacentral:rRNA from 10 species